UCCUCACCGAAACCCGGCGCCUGGCGACGGACAAGG
rnacentral:sRNA from 1 species